rnacentral:rRNA from 1 species
CAGCCGCCGCGGUAAUACGUAGGGUGCGAGCGUUAAUCGGAAUUACUGGGCGUAAAGCGUGCGCAGGCGGUUGUGUAAGACAGGUGUGAAAUCCCCGGGCUUAACCUGGGAACUGCGCUUGUGACUGCACAGCUAGAGUAUGGCAGAGGGGGGUGGAAUUCCACGUGUAGCAGUGAAAUGCGUAGAGAUGUGGAGGAAAAUCGAUGGCGAAGGCAUCCCCCUGGGCCAAUACUGACGCUCAUGCACGAAAGCGUGGGGAGCAAACAGGAUUAGAUACCCGGGUAGUCCCUGUCUCUUAUAC